AACGAACGCUGGCGGCAGGCUUAACACAUGCAAGUCGAGCGCCCCGCAAGGGGAGCGGCAGACGGGUGAGUAACGCGUGGGAAUCUACCGUACCCUACGGAAUAACGCAUGGAAACGUGUGCUAAUACCGUAUACGCCCUACGGGGGAAAGAUUUAUCGGGGUAUGAUGAGCCCGCGUUGGAUUAGCUAGUUGGUGGGGUAAAGGCCUACCAAGGCGACGGUCCAUAGCUGGUCUGAGAGGAUGAUCAGCCACAUUGGGACUGAGACACGGCCCAAACUCCUACGGGAGGCAGCAGUGGGGAAUAUUGGACAAUGGGCGCAAGCCUGAUCCAGCCAUGCCGCGUGAGUGAUGAAGGCCUUAGGGUUGUAAAGCUCUUUCACCGGUGAAGAUAAUGACGGUAUCCGGAGAAGAAGCCCCGGCUAACUUCGUGCCAGCCGCCGCGGUAAAAC
rnacentral:rRNA from 1 species